GUGCUCGCUUUGGAAGCACAUGUACUAAAAUUGGAAUGAUAAAAAGAAGAUUAGCAUGGCCCCUGCUCAAGGAUGACAAGCAAAUUCGUGAAGUGUUCCAUAGUUUU